rnacentral:rRNA from 1 species
CACGGAGGGUGCGAGCGUUGUCCGGAAUCACUGGGCGUAAAGGGCGCGUAGGCGGCCUGGUAAGUAGGGGGUGAAAUCCUGCGGCUUAACCGCAGGGCUGCCUUCUAAACUGUCAGGCUCGAGCACGGUAGAGGCAGAUGGAAUUCCCGGUGUAGCGGUGGAAUGCGUAGAGAUCGGGAAGAACAUCAGUGGCGAAGGCGGUCUGCUGGGCCGUUGCUGACGCUGAGGCGCGACAGCGGUGGGGAGCAAACAGG